CCCUCUGCCCAUUGGCCUGGGAGCUUUCAUCACAUCCCACCCCUGGCCCUUUCUCUGUUGGUUGGGGGUGCUUCUCCUCAGCCCUGUCCUGUGGAAGGAUCUCAGACUGAGGAACACUGAUGGACCCCACUCUGGUAAUGUUGUUUGGAUGUUGGGAGCCUGCUCUAGUUGGAGCUGCCCUAACAGCCUUGUUUCCCACUGGUCCCAUUGGAGCCUAAUCCCAGCUCUGCUGCUGCUCUGUGGUCAGUCAGGACCCAGUUCUCCGGAUGGCUGUGUGUGCAAAAGAAGCUUGGGAGUAAACCUCAAACACCUUGAAUAGAGUGUUACCUCUUACAUGCCAUAUGAACCAAUCAUCAAUAUGGAGUGUGUUGUGGACAAUAUGUCAUCAAUAUGGAGUGAGUAUGUAGACCUGUUGUCUACCUCUUGAAGCAGGACGUACGGACAUCUGACCAAGUCGCCCUCUCCUGUUCCUUUCUGCAAAAUGACCAGGUGUGACUGUGCCGGUGUUGCUACAACUUGAAGGUUUAUCAUCGUGCAGCUUACCGGUGCUGGCGUGAAAUCGUACCGCUUUGAUGCACUCGCAGCUGAUUUCUAGAUCAGUGGCUGAUCCUGUGAAAACGUACGGUCCCCUGACAGAGGUCAGCUGCAGAGCAGAAAUGCCAUGUUCCUGAUCAUAUGGAAAAUGGAAAGAGGAGCUGGGAAUGGGACUUGGAUCUCCAGCAUGGACACUGCUUUGUGGAUGGGUUAUCACAAAAGACUGAGGAAAACACAAAUGCUUCAGCCCACCUCCUGUCCAGGGUUCCCAGAGCGCUUCAAAGCCCCAGCUGAAUAAUAAAUGGCAUCUUCCAAGAGUUCUACACGUCCUUCCUUACGUUCGCUGCAGAUCCCAUCGCCUGCUGGAGCCCCCAAGCUUUUAUCCACAGAUGCAAAAAAUGCCCAGUGCGCUGUUAUUCAUGGAAGUCCUCAGCACGAUGAUUUGAUGAGGCCAUGAUCUUGGGGAGAUACCAAAUGAGGUGGGCUGUUUCAGAUGGAUUACACAGACAUCCCAAAUUGUAAAGGACAGGUUUGUGUGUCUGUGUGCGCUGGAAGGGAAGAAAGACUGCUGUCCUCCUGCACCUGACUGUUGGCUUUAAGGGUGCAGGGCACUGAAUGGCCCAGCACAGAGACUUCAUCCUCCAGCAGGGUGCCAGUGCCUCGGAGAUGAUGAUGUAGUCCCUAUGUGGGCCGCAGAAAGCACUUCGAGCCGUGCUGGAGUCGUGCUGGGUGGCUCUGAUAGCAGAGCUAAUGGGAGCGAAUGGGAUGCAACGAACUGUUCUAAUGACACCAGCCAGGGAAGAGACAACAGAGAUGAUGCAAGAAGAGUCAGACGUUCCUGCUGACAUCACCCCACGUGCCCGGGUUUUUCACAGCUCAACAUGGGAAGCAGCCCAGAGGGCUUCGUGGCAGCAGGACCUGCCAGACCAUGCCUGGUGCUGGGAGGAAGGAGCGCUAAAAGGGAUUGUCCCCCUCUGGUCCCCACUUUGCUUCUGCGUUUCAGCCUGUCAGCUUGAAGUGGGCAUGGGGAGACUGUCGUUGUAAAUCCCAAUCACACUUAGAGGAAGACGAUGCUUAUCCUCAGAACACUUUUUUUCCAAAUGUUGAACCUGUCUCUCUCUACUGUAGCUCUUUGCAGUAAUUAAAUUAUGUAAUGCAAAGCUUAAAGCCACUGAAAACAUAAUUACAAAAUGUAGAAUUAGUUCAUUAUAAAGGAUCAGCUGGCCUACC